rnacentral:rRNA from 1 species
GAUGAACGCUGGCGGCGUGCCUAAUACAUGCAAGUCGAGCGAACAGACGAGGAGCUUGCUCCUCUGACGUUAGCGGCGGACGGGUGAGUAACACGUGGAUAACCUACCUAUAAGACUGGGAUAACUUCGGGAAACCGGAGCUAAUACCGGAUAACAUGUUGAACCGCAUGGUUCAACAGUGAAAGACGGUCUUGCUGUCACUUAUAGAUGGAUCCGCGCCGCAUUAGCUAGUUGGUAAGGUAACGGCUUACCAAGGCAACGAUGCGUAGCCGACCUGAGAGGGUGGUCGGCCACACUGGAACUGAGACACGGUCCAGACUCCUACGGGAGGCAGCAGUAGGGAAUCUUCCGCAAUGGGCGAAAGCCUGACGGAGCAACGCCGCGUGAGUGAAGAAGGUCUUCGGAUCGUAAAACUCUGUUAUUAGGGAAGAACAAAUGUGUAAGUAACUAUGCACGUCUUGACGGUACCUAAUCAGAAAGCCACGGCUAACUACGUGC